GCGUGGGAACCUGCCCAGUGGUGGGGGAUAACUGCGGGAAACUGCAGCUAAUACCGCAUGAGCCCGAGAGGGGAAAGAUUUAUCGCCAUUGGAGGGGCCCGCGUUCGAUUAGGUAGUUGGUGGGGUAACGGCCUACCAAGCCGACGAUCGAUAGCUGGUCUGAGAGGAUGAUCAGCCACACUGGGACUGAGAUACGGCCCAGACUCCUACGGGAGGCAGCAGUGGGGAAUAUUGGACAAUGGGGGCAACCCUGAUCCAGCAAUGCCGCGUGAGUGAUGAAGGCCUUCGGGUUGUAGAGCUCUUUUGCCAGGGACGAUGAUGACGGUACCUGGAGAAUAAGCCCCGGCCAACUUCGUGCCAGCAGCCGCGGUAAUACGAAGGGGGCAAGCGUUGUUCGGAAUUACUGGGCGUAAAGGGCGCGUAGGCGGCCGAUCAAGUCAGGCGUGAAAUUCCCGGGCUCAACCUGGGGGCUGCGCUUGAUACUGGUUGGCUUGAAUGCGGGAGAGGAUAGUGGAAUUCCCAGUGUAGAGGUGAAAUUCGUAGAUAUUGGGAAGAACACCGGUGGCGAAGGCGGCUAUCUGGCCCGUUAUUGA
rnacentral:rRNA from 1 species